GUCAGAAUGGCUGAGUGGUCUAAGGCGCCAGACUCAAGUUCUGGUCUCCUGAUGGAGGCGUGGGUUCAAAUCGCACUUCUGACA
rnacentral:tRNA from 1 species